rnacentral:rRNA from 1 species
CUGUCUCCCUCUGAUGAGACAAGCCUU